AUAGGGUGCAUAGCCUCUCACUAGUUUUGGACGCACUCUGUUAAUAUCCAUAUAUGUACAUAUGUCCGAAAAACAAUGAAAGACGUAUAUUGUGCUAAUACAAUUUAUAAUAUUUGUCUUUAUUCGAUUUUAUAUGGUUUAGCUAAUUUUAUAUUUUAAAUGUUAGUUUUAUACAAAGGUUGUCGAUUUAAUCAACUGCUUGCUGCGGAUGGAUGGUGAAAAACGAAUGAAGAUACGUGAAUCGGAACGCAGGUCGAAAAAGAAGAAAUCGCGGGUAUCAUUGACGAUCCUUUCUAUUCCCUUUUGUGUGGUGUAUGGUGUUGUUAUGUGUGUGGGUGUGUUGAUGUGACAGUUUUCUUCUGUUCUGUGGUGAGUGUGGUGAAUGUUAUGUAUCAGUGGUGUGGAUUUGGAUAAAUGUUGUGUGCCAGUGUGGUAUGUUGAUGCUUAGUGAGUGUGGAUGAAUGUUACAGUUGGGGGUUGAGCCAGACUCAUUUAAACAUCCCGGCCCCCCUAGGCGAAUGUUUUAGCCUAGCAGUCGCUGUAGUUGUUAUAGCGUACCUACAAGGCUACUAAGGCUUGUGUUGCGCCAAGACUGUGAUCCGAAUUGGUCGUCAAGUUGAUCGACAAUAUAUGGUAAUUUUUGUGUUAGUUUGAAUGGAUUAUUCGUUACGGACUUAUUCGACUGUCCUUGUGUAUGCACUAAUGUAUGUUGUUGCGCGUAUGAGAGCUCGUGAUAGAGAUCAAUGGCUUUUUUACAUUGCAUUAUUACUUUUGGAUUACUUAUUAUGGACUUAUUCGACUGUCCUUGUGUAUGCACUAAUGUAUGUUGUUGCGCGUAUGAGAGCUCGUGAUAGAGAUCAAUGGCUUUUUUACAUAUGUGUGCAUGUAUGUGCAUAUAUUUAAGAAAAUAUAAUAUGGUUUGUGCAAUCCGGCUUGUUUUUCAUUAAACAUGUUUAAAAAUGUUUGUAGGGUGUUGAGGAAUAGACAGAUUAUAUGUAGUAUAAAUGUUAGUAUGUUUGCGCGAUAAGAAGAGCGUGAAAACGGAAUAGGUAAUAUGCGGUUAUUUUAUCCACUGCACCUUUUCAUUACUUAUUGGUUACUAUGCAGCUUACUGCUUUCAGAAGCUGAAGGCGUAUCGCCGGAACAUAUUGCAAGUGUCCAUGUGCAUAUUUAUAUACUUGAAUAUGUUUUUUAUAUGUGUUAUGUAUAUUUAUAUACAAAUGUAAGCGCAUUGGCAAUUUGUGGUGUAUAUAUGUAUAUGUUAUUUUAUCUAAGCCGAAUUUUUGCAUAUAAAUAAAUAAAAUCUGGAAUCGAUACAACUCAAUUUAUACCGCUUAAAGAGGUAUGGGAAUGUGUAUAGAUUGUGAGUUUAUAUUGCGUUUUCCGAUCCAAUUUAUUUGCUCCUAUUCUACAGGCUGCCAGCUGUUCUGUUGCUCGCUGUGCUUUGUUUCUGUUAUAAUGCAGCUGGAGGUGUGUAUAUUGUUGUUGUUAUUUUCGAGCCCGUUUUUGUUACAUUCACAUUAUGUUGAUUAUGUUAUGUUAAUGUUUAGUGCUUAGUUUACCGCCCGUUUGUUUUUGUAUUUAUGUUUGUUUUUUAUUUAUUUUUCUUCUGGACGAGUGAUACUUAUAUUGCAUACUUGUUUUGCACUGUUUCUUUCUUUUUGUUAUAAGUUUGUAUACUUAUAUGAUUGUGUAUAUUUAUACUCUCGCAACAAAAGUUGUUGUUUUAUUUAAAUAUUUUGCGCAGUUGUAUAUUUUAUUAUUGUGUUAGUCACUGCACAUUUAUUUUAUAAGAAUAUAUAUUCCGUUCACUGCAAUUAUUUUUUACUUUUCUUUUUGUAUUUCCGAAUUUUUGUCACCGCAUUUUAUGAUUUUAAUGUGUAUGUAUUUUAUUUGAUUUUUUGGUAGUAUCACCAAUAGUGCCUUUCAGUAAGGCUCGAAGGACCAUGAAUAAUAGGGUGCAUAGCCUCUCACUAGUUUUGGACGCACUCUGUUAAUAUCCAUAUAUGUACAUAUGUCCGAAAAACAAUGAAAGACGUAUAUUGUGCUAAUACAAUUUAUAAUAUUUGUCUUUAUUCGAUUUUAUAUGGUUUAGCUAAUUUUAUAUUUUAAAUGUUAGUUUUAUACAAAGGUUGUCGAUUUAAUCAACUGCUUGCUGCGGAUGGAUGGUGAAAAA